GAUGAAGAACGCAGCGAAAUGCGAUACUUGGUGUGAAUUGCAGAAUCCCGUGAACCAUCGAGUCUUUGAAUGCAAGUUGCGCCCGAAGCCAUUAGGCCGAGGGCACGCCUGCCUGGGUGUCACACGUCGUUGCCCCCCCAUCUACUCCUUCGGGAUUGCGGGGGGCGGAUGAUGGCCUCCCGUGCGCCUCGUCGCGCGGUUGGCAUAAAUGCCAAGUCCUCGGCGACGCACGCCACGACAAUCGGUGGUUGCGAAACCUCGGUUGCCCGUCGUGUGCGGUCGUCGCGCAUCGAGGGCUCGAAAAAAUUGCCGGGCUCCGGCUCGGCUUUCAACGCGACCCCAGGUCAGGCGGGGUUACCCGCUGAAUUUAAGCAUAUCAAUAAGCGGAGGA
rnacentral:misc_RNA from 1 species